rnacentral:rRNA from 1 species
GACGACCGGCGCACGGGUGCGUAACGCGUAUAGAACCUACCUUUUACAGAGGAAUAGCCUUUAGAAAUGAAGAUUAAUGCCUCAUGGUAUUGUAGACUGGCAUCAGUUUAUAAUUAAAGAUUUAUCGGUAAAAGAUGGCUAUGCGUCCUAUUAGUUAGUUGGUAAGGUAACGGCUUACCAAGACAGCGAUAGGUAGGGGUCCUGAGAGGGAGAUCCCCCACACUGGUACUGAGACACGGACCAGACUCCUACGGGAGGCAGCAGUGAGGAAUAUUGGACAAUGGAGGAGACUCUGAUCCAGCCAUGCCGCGUGUAGGAAGAAUGCCCUAUGGGUUGUAAACUACUUUUAUACAGGAAGAAACACUGGUAUGUAUACCAGCUUGACGGUACUGUAAGAAUAAGGACCGG